rnacentral:rRNA from 1 species
UGAGGAAUAUUGGUCAAUGGUCGGGAGACUGAACCAGCCAAGCCGCGUGAGGGAGGAAGGUACAGAGUAUCGUAAACCUCUUUUGUCAGGGAGCAACGGGGUCCUUGCGAGGGCCCGAUGAGAGUACCCGGAGAAAAAGCAUCGGCUAACUCCGUGCCAGCAGCCGCGGUAAUACGGAGGAUGCGAGCGUUAUCCGGAUUUAUUGGGUUUAAAGGGUGCGCAGGCGGCCUGUUAAGUCAGCGGUAAAAGCCUGGGGCUCAACCCCGGCGAGCCGUUGAAACUGGCGGGCUGGAGUUGGAGAGAAGUACGCGGAAUGUGCGGUGUAGCGGUGAAAUGCUUAGAUAUCGCGCAGAACCCCGAUUGCGAAGGCAGCGUACCGGCUCCACACUGACGCUGAGGCACGAAAGCGUGGGUAUCGAACAGG